rnacentral:lncRNA from 1 species
CGAAUAAAUAAAGGUAGGCUUUGGCCCAAUCUUUUUCAACUCCCGAUUUGCUCCAAUUCCUCCACCUGUCCAAGUAAUAGUAAGUAAAAUGACAAGGGCUUAGGCCCAAUAAUAACAAAAUACGAUUCCGAAUAAAUAAAGGUGGGCUUUUGGCCCAAUCUUUUUUAACUCCCGAUUUGCUCCGCUUUUCUUUCAAUUUCGAGACUUGUUCGUUGAUUUUCAAUGGCCGGUUGAUGAAGGUAGAAUUGGAACUUGAGCCUUUAUGGCUCUCUCGAAAUGCAAGGAAAAGGAGCGAGUUCGUGGCGAACUCGAACAGAUUUCACAUGCGAAAGAAAAGAACUCAAGUAAGGUUCACGAUAGUUCAAAAUGACAAACAAAAUAAAGUACGAUGCUACAUAAUAGUGGUGCAAUCAAAACAUACCACCGUUAAUAUUAAAUUUAGUUAUCCCAAAAUUCAUCUAUUCUGAAUGAUACUAAACAAAGAAAUUUAAUUUCGCAUAAUUCAAAUGAACCAGAAGCUUCACCAACAUAGUCACUCUAACCAUGAAUAUAAUUUCAAGUCAAUGCAUCAACAUUAAUACAAUAAUAAAGAAAGGCCGUCAGAUCAAAUCAAAAUUAAAUAAGAUAAACAAAACUUCUUGGAGGCAAAAACUUAACAACAUUUGACGGCAAAGUGCAG